UACGUAGGGGGCGCGCGUUGUCCGGAUUUAUUGGGCGUAAAGAGCGUGUAGGCGGCCUGACAGGUCUGCUGUGAAAACUCGAGGCUCAACCUCGAGAUGUCGGCGGAAACCGUCUGGCUAGAGUCCGGAAGAGGAGAGUGGAAUUCCUGGUGUAGCGGUGAAAUGCGCAGAUAUCAGGAAGAACACCUAUGGCGAAGGCAGCUCUCUGGGACGGUACUGACGCUGAGACGCGAAAGCGUGGGGAGCGAACAGG
rnacentral:rRNA from 1 species